rnacentral:sRNA from 2 species
GAGCGAUCAUAAGGGAGCUGACUGCAAAUGUGCCGUCAUCGACUUCAAGGUUCGACUCGAGCAAUAGUGAGAGAACGUUGCCGUAGGCAACGGCCCGAAGGGUGAGGAGCUUUAGCUCCGAAUAAUCCUUCUCGCUAUAGAA